rnacentral:rRNA from 1 species
GGGUUGUGAGGUUAAGCGACUAAGCGUACACGGUGGAUGCCCUGGCAGUCAGAGGCGAUGAAGGGCGUGCUAAUCUGCGAUAAGCGCCGGUAAGGUGAUAUGAACCGUUAUAACCGGCGAUACCCGAAUGGGGAAACCCAGUGUGACUCGUCACACUAUCAUUAACUGAAUCCAUAGGUUAAUGAGGCGAACCGGGGGAACUGAAACAUCUAAGUACCCCGAGGAAAAGAAAUCAACCGAGAUUCCCCCAGUAGCGGCGAGCGAACGGGGAGGAGCCCAGAGCCUGAAUCAGCAUGUGUGUUAGUGGAAGCGUCUGGAAAGGCGCGCGAUACAGGGUGACAGCCCCGUACACAAAAGCGCAUGUGCUGUGAGCUCGAUGAGUAGGGCGGGACACGUGGUAUCCUGUCUGAAUAUGGGGGGACCAUCCUCCAAGGCUAAAUACUCCUGACUGACCGAUAGUGAACCAGUACCGUGAGGGAAAGGCGAAAAGAACCCCGGCGAGGGGAGUGAAAAAGAACCUGAAACCGUGUACGUACAAGCAGUGGGAGCACAGGUUUACCUGUGUGACUGCGUACCUUUUGUAUAAUGGGUCAGCGACUUAUAUUCUGUAGCAAGGUUAACCGUAUAGGGGAGCCGUAGGGAAACCGAGUCUUAAUUGGGCGUUAAGUUGCAGGGUAUAGACCCGAAACCCGGUGAUCUAGCCAUGGGCAGGUUGAAGGUUGGGUAACACUAACUGGAGGACCGAACCGACUAAUGUUGAAAAAUUAGCGGAUGACCUGUGGCUGGGGGUGAAAGGCCAAUCAAACCGGGAGAUAGCUGGUUCUCCCCGAAAGCUAUUUAGGUAGCGCCUCGUGAAUUCAUCUCCGGGGGUAGAGCACUGUUUCGGCUAGGGGGCCAUCCCGGCUUACCAACCCGAUGCAAACUGCGAAUACCGGAGAAUGUUAUCACGGGAGACACACGGCGGGUGCUAACGUCCGUCGUGAAGAGGGAAACAACCCAGACCGCCAGCUAAGGUCCCAAAGUCAUGGUUAAGUGGGAAACGAUGUGGGAAGGCCCAGACAGCCAGGAUGUUGGCUUAGAAGCAGCCAUCAUUUAAAGAAAGCGUAAUAGCUCACUGGUCGAGUCGGCCUGCGCGGAAGAUGUAACGGGGCUAAACCAUGCACCGAAGCUGCGGCAGCGACGCUUAUGCGUUGUUGGGUAGGGGAGCGUUCUGUAAGCCUGCGAAGGUGGCCUGUGAGGGUUGCUGGAGGUAUCAGAAGUGCGAAUGCUGACAUAAGUAACGAUAAAGCGGGUGAAAAGCCCGCUCGCCGGAAGACCAAGGGUUCCUGUCCAACGUUAAUCGGGGCAGGGUGAGUCGACCCCUAAGGCGAGGCCGAAAGGCGUAGUCGAUGGGAAACGGGUUAAUAUUCCCGUACUUGGUGUUACUGCGAAGGGGGGACGGAGAAGGCUAUGUUGGCCGGGCGACGGUUGUCCCGGUUUAAGCGUGUAGGUGUGUGUUCCAGGUAAAUCCGGUUCACUUUAACACUGAGGCGUGAUGACGAGGCACUACGGUGCUGAAGCAACAAAUGCCCUGCUUCCAGGAAAAGCCUCUAAGCAUCAGGUAACAUCAAAUCGUACCCCAAACCGACACAGGUGGUCAGGUAGAGAAUACCAAGGCGCUUGAGAGAACUCGGGUGAAGGAACUAGGCAAAAUGGUGCCGUAACUUCGGGAGAAGGCACGCUGACACGUAGGUGAAGUGAUUUACUCAUGGAGCUGAAGUCAGUCGAAGAUACCAGCUGGCUGCAACUGUUUAUUAAAAACACAGCACUGUGCAAACACGAAAGUGGACGUAUACGGUGUGACGCCUGCCCGGUGCCGGAAGGUUAAUUGAUGGGGUCAGCGCAAGCGAAGCUCCUGAUCGAAGCCCCGGUAAACGGCGGCCGUAACUAUAACGGUCCUAAGGUAGCGAAAUUCCUUGUCGGGUAAGUUCCGACCUGCACGAAUGGCGUAAUGAUGGCCAGGCUGUCUCCACCCGAGACUCAGUGAAAUUGAACUCGCUGUGAAGAUGCAGUGUACCCGCGGCAAGACGGAAAGACCCCGUGAACCUUUACUAUAGCUUGACACUGAACAUUGAGCCUUGAUGUGUAGGAUAGGUGGGAGGCUUUGAAGUGUGGACGCCAGUCUGCAUGGAGCCGACCUUGAAAUACCACCCUUUAAUGUUUGAUGUUCUAACGUGGACCCGUGAUCCGGGUUGCGGACAGUGUCUGGUGGGUAGUUUGACUGGGGCGGUCUCCUCCUAAAGAGUAACGGAGGAGCACGAAGGUUGGCUAAUCCUGGUCGGACAUCAGGAGGUUAGUGCAAUGGCAUAAGCCAGCUUGACUGCGAGCGUGACGGCGCGAGCAGGUGCGAAAGCAGGUCAUAGUGAUCCGGUGGUUCUGAAUGGAAGGGCCAUCGCUCAACGGAUAAAAGGUACUCCGGGGAUAACAGGCUGAUACCGCCCAAGAGUUCAUAUCGACGGCGGUGUUUGGCACCUCGAUGUCGGCUCAUCACAUCCUGGGGCUGAAGUAGGUCCCAAGGGUAUGGCUGUUCGCCAUUUAAAGUGGUACGCGAGCUGGGUUUAGAACGUCGUGAGACAGUUCGGUCCCUAUCUGCCGUGGGCGCUGGAGAACUGAGGGGGGCUGCUCCUAGUACGAGAGGACCGGAGUGGACGCAUCACUGGUGUUCGGGUUGUCAUGCCAAUGGCACUGCCCGGUAGCUAAAUGCGGAAGAGAUAAGUGCUGAAAGCAUCUAAGCACGAAACUUGCCCCGAGAUGAGUUCUCCCUGAGACUUAGAGUCUCCUGAAGGAACGUUGAAGACGACGACGUUGAUAGGCCGGGUGUGUAAGCGCAGCGAUGCGUUGAGCUAACCGGUACUAAUGAACCGUGAGGCUUAACCUUACAACGCCGAAG